rnacentral:tRNA from 1 species
GUCCCUGUAGCGCAAUGGAGAGCACGUUAGACUUCUAAUCCAAAGGUCGUGGGUUCAAAUCCCACAUGGGAUG